CGGACGGGUGAGUAAUGUCUGGGAAGCUGCCUGAUGGAGGGGGAUAACUACUGGAAACGGUAGCUAAUACCGCAUAACGUCGCAAGACCAAAGAGGGGGACCUUCGGGCCUCUUGCCAUCGGAUGUGCCCAGAUGGGAUUAGCUAGUAGGUGGGGUAACGGCUCACCUAGGCGACGAUCCCUAGCUGGUCUGAGAGGAUGACCAGCCACACUGUAACUGAGACACGGUCCAG
rnacentral:rRNA from 1 species